rnacentral:lncRNA from 1 species
GUCAAUAAUAAGCGCUCGUGGCAGCAGGCGGGGUUGCAGUUUCGUGCCAGCCCGCCGGUUCUGGCACAGCCACACCCAACUGCGCGCCUUGCAAAGGCCGGCGCUUAGCCCUGUCUUGCGUCCACUGCGCCGCUGCGAAGACCAACGACCGAGAGCUCUGGCUGCCAGCUCCUCCCCGGCCACUUCCGCCCCUGGCCGAGGAAGGCCCAAGCUGCGCCACAGGAGCUGGUCCGUCCGUCCGCCCCGCGCCCAGGCCUGGCAGCCCGUGCUCUGGCGGACCCCGACGCGCACAUGGACGCACGGACCUCCGAGGGUCCCCACGGGGACCCGCUGCGGGACGCGGUGAGUGGUCCCGGCGGCCCGGACUAAGCAGCCAGAACCUGUGCCUCUAGGACGCCCCCGCCCCUUCCUGGAACCCGUGAAAGUCCUGCCCCACCGCUGGAGCCGGGCUGGUUUUUAGAGCCCCGCCCCAGGAGGGGUGACUUUGGACCCUCUGAGUCUUCCGCGUCCCGCCUGCUCUCCUAUUUGCCAAAACAGGUUCCAAGCCUGGAAGAGGCAGAUAGGUUUACCCUGUUAAAAAGAAUUUACUACAUGAACAGACUGCAUUUUCCUGACCAAGGUGGACGCCCCUGAUUGAAGGAGGCAACUAGAGAUAAGGAUGGCAGCUCCGCAGUGAGAAGGCAGACUAGGAGUGCUGGUCCAGUGCUUCCACCGCCAACAAAUACAGGGGUGAGAGGUCUCAGGUCAUAAAUUAUUUAACGUGCAAACUAGAAAAAGCAGCGCAGAAACGUGAAACGCUAGCUGUAACGAUAUUCUGCGCAACCUGGCUGAUAAUACCAACUACAACACCAACGCCACCAGCUGGUGAACACCCGUAGUAAGGAGGAUACAUGAGCUGUGAAUGGCUUCGCCUCCUUGGGGAGCUCUUGAGAGUGACUGAGGCUGCUCCCUGUGCUCCUCCCUAGACUUACAUUUCAGCUCUCAGACGGUAGGUGUGUGCUCAUUGCGAGUUAACUGCGUAGUGUACAGAUGCAGUUUUGCACAGUCAUCUCUUUCUGGUGCUUGGCACCUUUGUCAAAAGCCACUGGAGCCCACGUAUGCAGCAUCUAAACGUUUUGUAUUUUCUUUUUAUUUCUCUGUAGAGCCAAACAAAUGAAAAAUAAAUCUAUUCAAAGAUGCAGGGGAAAAAAACACUGGAGCAUGUAUGAUGGAUUACUUCAUUAAUAAUAAAUGUUGAGUACUUUGUGGUUCCAUUUUCCAGGCAGAACAUCUACUUCAGGAACUUCAAGAACAUUUUCAAGCUCUCACUGCAGCCUUAAACCUGAGAAAUAUCCUCUUCUGUCUUUGGUAAACACUAAUGCUUUUGGACAGGCACAUCUCCAUUGUCUUCUGCUGUGGACAAAUAGUUGUUUAUUUGGAUUCUCCAGUAUUUACACUUGCCCUUCUAAGGGGCUUUUCCUGUGCUGUCAAUGCCAGAGGUCUGUGGCAAGUGUGAAGUUCAAGGGCACCACUCUGCUCCUGACCACCUGGACAACCUGGUCUGCAACAGUUAGAGGACGGUGCUCAAGUCCAAUAGGAGGCUAGACACUGCUGUGCCUUUGCUUUGUUUUGACUUCCCCGGCUCACUCUUUUAUUUCAGAAACACAAAUGUUACAAAAUUAACACAGAAUGUUUCCAAUGAGUAAGUUCAGGUAAGGGCAAAAAGUGCAUUAAAACUUGCCCAAUUUGAGCUCACUUUAUUCAACUAAGUGCAUUCCUUAAACAUUGUGCAAAGUAUUUACAUUUGGAAGUGCUUACCUGCAGCUUUUGAUUUUACCAACAAGGUAAAACAUGAUAACACGAUAAAUUAAACCAUAGAGUUGUUUUAAAAGUUAAAUUUCCAUUAUAUUAUGCUCAGAGUUUGGCAGGUUUAAAAGCCAAGUUUCUCACUUCAAGGUUCAAGAUACACACUAAAAGGGACUCAGGAGGCAGCAAAUUUGCAUUGACCCUUCAUUUUACAAGUUCCUCUCUGUGGAGAAGGUAUGGCCUUGAGGGCGUGUCUGUGGUCACUCUGCACCCCAGACCUACAUGUGCAGUUUUCCUUGACGUGGCACUGGAAGACAUGGGGAAUCGCAUAGAGGACUUACAGAAGAAUGUGAAUGUCCUAAUGGAGCAGGCUGGGGUUGGAAAUUCCACUGAAGAGCAAACAGUAAGUUCAUCAUUAGGCAACUGUUUGCCUUUUGCAUAUCUUUUAAUUGCUUUCAUCUUGAAAAAUACAAUCCCAUAUUUGUUCACUGUGCAAAUACUGUUGCUGUAUUACUGAAAAACCAUUAGAAACAACACAUUUCCAAAUGCUCUAAUCCAGUUAUACCAACUGAAACACUCUUUUCCAUAAUUCCUUAAAAGUGCACAUUUUAGAUGAAAAAUUCCUAUUUCAAAGUUGGAUUUUAUUAGGGUACUUUUCAUCCCUACUCCUUAAAUUAGUCUUCAGCUAGAACACAAAUCACAGUGAACUAGAGACUGGGAUUAUAACUAGUAGUUCCUGUUUAGAUAACUUAUCCAUGUCACACACUGAAGUCCUAUGCACAGAAAGUCCUUAACACAUUUCCUGAGUGGCCCACCAGGGCCUGGAUCACCCCACAAUGGGAACUUUCCCAUGCUAAUGCAGUCUUGAGGAUGCAAACAGAUUCCUAGCUCCAGGUCUGAGACCUGGAGUGUAGCUUUAUUAAGGUAAGUAUGCAUAUUAUCAUGACAGUACUCCAACUAUGACCAUCUUUUCAUUGAACAAUUUAAAGGCCUUGGUUUACUCACAAUUGCUAUCCUAAGUCGGAUAUCAAAUUAUCCCUUCUUGUCCUGCUAAAUUAUAGUUGCCUCUGUCAGUGACAUUAAUUGCAGUGAGUUAUUCUAAGCAGAGUCCACACUGAUGCCAUUGGACUAAAAAGGCCCUUGUAUCAUUUGUUUUUCUGAGUGCUAAAUUUUGCCUACAUAACAAUGUUGUAAUAAUUAUAAGAAAUUAGGGUACUUUAUUAAAAACUGUAUUCAGAUGUAUUUACCUGUAAACUGGAAUCCACAUCACCUAACUGCUUUCAAAUUUUUUCUUACAGACCUGAAGAUGUUAUUGGACAAGUCCCGUGAAACUAAUACAAUGAACACUUUGAAGGAGUAAUCAUCUAUGUAAUAUGGAUUCUGAUUCUCAGUACUUAAUUUUAAGAUUAUUUAUUUUUUUUGGGGGGGGUCCUGGGAAUGGAACUCAGGGCCUCAGCAUGCUAGGCCCUGAGUUGCACCUCCAGUCUAUCAGAAUUCUUUUUUUUCCCUUUUAGUUUUAAUUGGAUGCAAUACCUUUAUUUUAUUUAUUUUUAUGUGGUGCUGAUGAUUAAACCCAGUGUCUCACACAUGCUAGGCAAGCACUCUACCACUGAGUCACAACAUCAGAAUUCAUUUUAACAAAUAAAAAGAUUAAAAGAGGGCUGGGGAUAUGGCUCAAGUGGUAGUGCGCUCGCCUGGCAUGCGUGCGGCCCGGGUUCGAUCCUCAGCACCACAUACAAAGAUGUUGUAUCCGCAGAAAACUAAAAAAAUAAUAUUAAAAAAUUUCUCUUUAAAAAAAAAAUUAAAAGAAUAAGAAAUAAGAAUUCAAAAGGUGGUGAACUACUUACCAAGAUAACUGCAAACAAUGGAGAAAUAUUUUUUCAGUGCAUAAUAUUCACAAAUUAUGGAAGAAAAGCAUAUGCUGUAUGAAUACAUGAAUACUUUUUCCAAGUUAAAAUUCUACAUGGAUCUUUUAAGGAUCACCAGCAGUUUUCUAUCGGGCUUUGCUUUUUUUUUUUUUAAAUUAAUUUAUUUAUUCUUGGGCUGGGGAUGUGGCUCAAGCGGUAGCAUGUUUGCCUGGCAUGCGUGCGGCCCGGGUUCGAUCCUCAGCACCACAUACAAACAAAGAUGUUGUGUCCGCUGAAAACUAAAAAAUAAAAAUAUUAAAAUUCUCUCUCUCUAAAAAAAAAUUAUUCUAAUUUCUUACAUGUAACAGCAGAAUGCAUUUCAAUUCAUACUACACAUAUAGAGCACAAUUUUUCAUGUCUCUGGUUGUAUGCGAAGUAGAGUCACACCACUCAUGUCUUCAUACAUGUACUUGGGGUAAUGAUGCCCAUCUCAUUCCAUCGUUUUUCUUACCCCCUCUCUUCCCCUCCCCUCUACCCUAUCUAAAGUUCCUCCAUUCCUCUCAUGCCCACCGCCAUCCCUAUUAUGGACCAGCAUCCUGAUAACAGAGAAAACAUUCGGUAUUUGGUUUUGGGGGGAUUGGCUUACUUCACUUAGCAUAAUAUUCUCCAGCCCCACCCAAUUACCUGCAAAUGCCAUGAUUUUAUUCUCUUCUAAUGCUGAGUAAUAUACAACUGUGUAAAUAUACCAUAGUUUCUUUACCCAUUUAUCUAUUGAAGGGCAUCUAGGUUGAUUCCACAAUUCAGCCGUUGUGAAUUGUAUUGCUAUAAAUAUUGAUAUAGCUGUUUUUAAGUCGUUUGGGUAUAAACUGAGGAGGAUAGUUGGAUCAAAUGGUGGUUACAUUUCAAGUUUUCCAAGGAAUCUUCAUACCACUUUCCAUAUUGGUUGCACCAAUUUGCAGUCCCACCAGCAAUGUAUGAGUGUCUUUUCCCCCACAUCCUUGCCAACACUUACUGUUGUUUGUAUUCUUAAUAGCUGCCAUUCUGACUGGAGUGAGAUAAAAAUCUUAGAGUAGUUUUGAUUUGAAUUUCUCUAAUUACUAGAGAUAUUGAAUAUUUUUUAAUGUAUUUGUUGAUUGAUUGUAUAUCAUCUUCUGAAAAGUGUCUGUCCAGUUCCUUGGCCCAUUUAUUGAUUUGGUUUGUUUGUUUUGGUGAUUAGCUUUUAGAGUUCUUUAUAUACCCUAGAGAUUAGUCCUUUAUCUGAUGUGCUCCCAUUCUGUAGGCUCUCUAUUCACCUGAUUGUUUCUUGCUUAGAUGAUGAUUUUUAGUUUGAAUCCACCCCAUUUGGAUUCUUGAUUUUAUUUCUUGCAUAAUAGGAGUCUUAUUAAGGAAGGUGGGGCCUACUUUUUCUUCUAUUAGGCACAGGGUCCCUUGUUUAGUUCCUAGGUCCUUGAUCCAAUUUGAGUUGUUUUUUGUAUGGUGAUAGGGGCUCAAUUUCAUUUUGUUGCAUAUGGAUUUCCAGUUUUCCCAGCACCAUUUGUUGAAGAGGAUAUUCUUUCUCCAAUAUAUUUUUGGCGCUUUUGUCUAAUAUGACUGUAUUUAUGUGAGUUUGCUUCCGUGUUCUCUAUUCUACACCAUUGGUCUACAAGUCUAUUUUGGUGCCAAUACCACACUGUUUUGCUACUGUUGCUCUGUAGUACAGUUUAAGGUUUGGUAUAGUGAUGCCACCUGCUUCACUCUUCUUGCUUUAGCUAUUCUGGGUCUCUUUAUUUUUCCAGUGAAUUUCAUGACUACUUUUACUAUUUCUAUGAGGAAUGUCAUUGGGGUGUUAAUUGCAAUUCCAUUAAAUCUGUAUAGUGCUUUUGGUAGUAUGGCUAUUUUGACAAUAUGAAUUCUGCCUAUCCAAGAACAAGGGAGAUAUUUCCAUCUUCUAAGGUCUUCUUUAAUUUCUUCCUUUAGCAUUCUGUAAUUUUUAUUGUAGAGAUCUUUCACCUCUUUCAGUGAUUCCCAAGGUUUUGGUUUCUUGGUUUUGUUUUGAGGCUAUUGUAAAUGGGAUAGUUUUCCUAGUUUCUCUUUCAGAGGAUUUGUCACUGAUGUACAGAAAUGCCUUUGAUUUAUGGGUGUUGAUUUUAUAUCUUGCUGAAUUCAUUAUUAGUUCUAUAAGUUGUCUGGUGGAAUUUUCUGGAUCUUCUAAGUAUAGAAUCAUAUAAUCAGUAUACAGUGAUAAUUUGAAUUCUUUUCCUACCCGUAUCUUUAGUUUCUUUUGUCUAAUUGAUUGGCUAGAGUUUCAAGAACUAUGUUAAAUAGUGGUGGUGAAAGAGGGCAUCCCUGUCUUGUUCCAUUUUUUUUUUAGAGGGAAUGCUUUCAAUUUUUCUUCAUUUAGAAUGAUGUUGGCCUGGAUCUUAGAAUAACAGUUUUUACAAUGUUGAAAUAUGUUUCUGUGAUUCCUCGUUUUUCUAGUGUUUUGAAUGAAGGGGUCCUGUAUUUUGUCAAAUGCUUUUUCUGCAUCUAAUGAGAUGAUCAUAUGAUUCUUAUCUUUAAGUCUAUUAAUGUGAUGAAUUACAUUUGCUGAUUUUCAUAUUGAACCAACCCUGCAUCCCUAGGAUGAACCCUACUUGAUUGUGGUGCACUAUCCUUUUGAUAUGUUUUUGUAUUUGCCAGAAUUUUAUUGAAAAAAUUUGCAUCUAUGUUCAUUAGAGAUAUUGGUCUGAAGGUUUCUUUCUUUGAUAUGUCUUUGUCUGGUUUUAGAACCAGGGUGAUAAUGACUUCACAGAAUGAGUUUGGAAGUGUUCCCUCUUUUUCUAUUUCAUGAAAUAACUUGAGGAGUAUUAGUUCUUCUUUGAAGGUCUUGUAGAACUCAGUUGUGUAUCCAUCUGGUCCUAGGCUUUUCUUGGUUGGUAGGCUUCUGAUGGUGUCUUCUAUUUCAUUGCUUGAAUUGACAUGUUUAACUUGUAUGUAUCAUCCUGAUUCAGUCUGAGCAAAUCAUGAGACUAGAAAUUUGUCGAUAGUUUUUCUAUUUUACUGGAGUACAAAUUUUCAAAAUAAUUUCUAAUUAUAUUCUAUAUUUCUGUAGUGUCUAUCAUGAUAUUUCCUUUUUCAUCACAGAUGUUAGUAAUUUGAGUUUUCUCUUUCUUACUCCUGUUAUCAUGGCUAAGAUUUAUCAAUUUUAUUUAUUUCUUCAAAGAACCAACUUUUUGUUUUCUCAAUUUUUUCAAUUUUCUUUUGUCUCAAUUUCAUUGAUUUUAGCUCUGAUUUUAAUUUUCUAUCUUCUACUGCUUUUGGUGUUGAUUUGUUGUUUUCUUUCUAGGGCUUGGAGAUGCAACAUUAGAUCAUUUGUUUACCGUUUCUUCUUUUAAGGAAUGAACUCCAUGGGGCUGGGGAUGUGGCUCAAGCGGUAGCGCGCUGGCCUGCCAUGCGUGCGGCCUGGGCUCGAUCCUCAACACCACAUACAAACAAAGAUGUUGUGUCCGCUGAAAACUAAAUAUUAAAAUUCUCUAAAAAAAAAUAAAAUAAAAGGAAUGAACUCCAUGCAAUGAACUUUCCUCUUAGUAUUGCCUUCAUAGUGUCUCAGGGAUUUCAAUGUUGUAUCAGUGUUCUCAUUUACCUCUAAGAAUUUUUUUAAUCACCUCUUUUGCAACCAUUGUUCAUUCAAUAGCAUAUUAUUUAGUCUACAGGUGUUGAAGUAGCGUCUAUUUUUAAUUUAAUCAUUGACUUCUAAAUUUCAUUCCAUUAUGAUCUGAUAGAAUUCAGGGUAUCUAUUUUUUUUUUGUAUUUGCUAAGUUGCUUUAUGACAUAAUAUAUGGUCUAUUUUAGAGAAGGAUCCAUGUGCUGAAAGUGAUUUCAGUCAUUCAUGGAUAAAAUAUUCUAUCUAUGUAAGUUAUUGAUUGUAUUAUUGAAUUCUAUAAUUUCUUUGUUUAGCUUUUGUUCAGAAGAUUUAUCUAGUAGUGAAAGAGGUUUGUUAAAAUCAUCAAAAUUAUUGUGUUGUGGUCUACUCGACUCUUGAACUUGAAAUGUGUUUGUUUGAGGACUGUAGAUGCUACAUGGUUUGGGGCAUAUAUAAUUGUUAUAUCUUAUUGAUGUAUGGUUCCCUUAAACAGUAUGAAAUAUCCUUCUUUAUCCCCUGUGAUUAACUUUGGCUUGAAGUCUACUCUAUUUGAUAUGAGGACGGAAACCUUGCUUGUUUCUGCAGUCCAUGUAAGUAGUAUGUUUUGUUUUUUUUUCCCCAACCUUUCACCUUCAGUCUGUGGAUGUCUUUUCCUAUGAGAUGACAGCAUAUUGUUAGGUUUUUUUUUUUUAAACCCAAUCUGCCAGUCUAGCUUUUCGAUUGUCAUUGUAGGCCAUUGACAUUCAGGGUUGUGCUCUAUGUGUAAUAUGAAAUGAAUUGCCUUCUGCAUGUGUAACAAAAAUUAGAAUAAAUAAUUUUUAAAAAAUAUUCAGGAUUAUUAUUGAGACAUGAUUUGUAUUCCUAGUCAUGUUUAUUUUUGGUAUUUAACUUAACUUGGUUUCUACUUUGAUUAGUAUAUCCUUUAGUGUAACACUUCCCUUUGCUGAUUUUCAUUGUUAUUUCCUCCUCAUGGAAUAUUUUGCUGAAGACGCUUUCUAGUCAUAAAUUCUUUUAUCAUGGAAGGUUUUUAUUUUAUCAUCAAAUCUAUAGCAUAAUUUUGCUGGAUAUGAUUCUUGGUUGGCAUCCAUUUUCUUUCAGAGCUUGGUAUAUGUUGUUCCAGGAUCUUCCAGCUUUCAGGGUCUGGGUUGAAAAAUCUGCAGAGCUACUAAUUGUUUUCCCCCUAUAUGCAAUCUGAUUCCUUUUUCUUGUGGCUUCUAAAAUUCUCUCCUUAUUCUGUAUGCUGGGCAUUUUCAAUAUAAUGUGCCUUGGUGUGGAUCUCUUUUGUGAUUUUGUGUAUUUGGUGUCCUAUAAGCCUCUUGUAUUUGAUUUUCUAAUUCAUUCUUCAUGUUUGGAAAAUUUUCUGAUAUUUAAUUGAAGAGAUUAUUCAUUCCUUUGGUUUGGAAUUCUAUGCCUUCCUCUAUCCCAGUAAUUUAUUUUUUUUUCUGAGCGAGAGAGAGAAAAU